CGUGAGAUGUUGGGUUAAGUCCCGCAACGAGCGCAACCCUUGCCAUUAGUUGCUACGAAAGGGCACUCUAAUGGGACUGCGGUGACAAACCGGAGGAAGGUGGGGAUGACGUCAGGUCAUCAUGGCCCUUAUGGGUAGGGCUACACACGUCAUACAAUGGCCGGUACAGAGGGCUGCCAACCCGCGAGGGGGAGCCAAUCCCAGAAAACCGGUCGUAGUCCGGAUCGUAGUCUGCAACUCGACUGCG
rnacentral:rRNA from 1 species